UACGGGGGGGGCAAGCGUUGUUCGGAAUUACUGGGCGUAAAGGGCGCGUAGGCGGCCUUCUAAGUCAGACGUGAAAUCCCCCGGCUUAACCUGGGAACUGCGUCUGAUACUGGGAGGCUUGAGUAUGGGAGAGGGAUGUAGAAUUCCAGGUGUAGCGGUGAAAUGCGUAGAUAUCUGGAGGAAUACCAGUGGCGAAGGCGGCUUUCUGGGCCUACCCUGACGCUGAGGAGCGAAAGCGUGGGGAGCAAACCGG
rnacentral:rRNA from 1 species